rnacentral:rRNA from 1 species
AUGGAGGCGCCGUUUGUCUACCUCCGCCCCACCGUCGAGGACGACGGCACCGGUGAGCAGGCUCUCAUGAAGGCCGCCCUCGACGGCAACCUCGGCCGCCUCAAACGUAUUGUAAAGAAACUUACCAAAAGAAAUGGCGACCUGUCGGCCAUUUUUUCUAUCAACACGAACGGAUGUAAUGUGUUGCAUCUCGCAGCAUGCGAAGGCCAUUUGGAGGUUUGCAGGUACCUAGUGGAGGAGCUUGGAGGAGAUGUAAAUGCUCCUGGGGGUGGAGAUGUAGCUGAAGGUGCGACUCCAUUUAUGUUGUCUGCUCAGUCUGGUCAUGUUUCUACUGUCAAGUAUUUUCUUGAUCAUGGUGGUGAUCUCGUGAAAGGACUUAACAAAGGACGGACAGUUCUCCACCAUGCUGUGUGUAUAGGAUGCUGCAAGGUGACAGAGUUCCUCCUGUCAAAAGGAGUGCCUGUUGACAUAGACUGUGGCCAUGGAACACCACUCUAUAUGGCUGCUAUAAAUGAGCAGGAUAAGACAGUGAAGAUUUUGUUGGACCACCAUGCAAAUCCUAGCAUCAUUAUCAGCGGUGCUAACAGUCCCCUUAUGAGUGCUCUUGUUUACCGUUCAUUGAAGUGCAUGAAGCUACUCAUUAAGUUGGGUAGGUUGCCAGUAGAGCUUGCUGCGAUACGCGAUUGCAUGGAAGAGGUUGAAAUGUUGUUUCCUGUGACUUCUCCAAUUCCAAAUGUCCCAAACUGGAGUAUUGAAGGAGUAAUUUCUCAUGCAAAAAUUGAAGAAAAGAAGCCAAUUGAGCAACGGCACCUUGAAAGAAGAAAAAGUUUGUUCAAGUCACAUGCUGAUAAGGCAUUCAAGCAGAAGGACUAUAAGAUGGCAACAAAGUUCUAUGAUUUGGCAAUAGAGCAUGCAGAGAGUGCAACACUGUAUGCAAACAGGAGUCUUUGUAAACUGCUCAUGGAUGAUGGUGAAGGUGCUUUGUCAGAUGCUCUCAUGUGCAGAAUGCUGCGACCUGAUUGGGCAAAAGCUUGCUACCAUCAAGGUGCAGCUCACAUGCUACUCAAGGAGUAUAAACAAGCCUGUGAUGCUCUCUUGGACGCACAAAAUUUGGAUCCUGGGAAUGCCGAAAUCGAGGGUGAACUACGGAAGGCUAGGGAACUCAUGAAGAACCCUCCGGGCAAAGGCGAGCAGUGA